AGGACGAACGCUGGCGGCGUGCUUAACACAUGCAAGUGGAGCGACGAACCAGGGCUUGCCCUGGGGCAGAGCCGCGAACGGGUGAGUAACACGUGGGUUACCUGCCUCGAUGACCGGGACAACCCGAGGAAACUCGGGCUAAUACCGGAUGUGCCCGCAAGGGGAAAGGAAGCUUCGGCCUCCGCAUCGAGAUGGGCCCGCGGCCCAUUAGCUUGUUGGUGAGGUAACGGCUCACCAAGGCUUUGAUGGGUAGCUGGUCUGAGAGGACGAUCAGCCACACUGGGACUGAGACACGGCCCAGACUCCUACGGGAGGCAGCAGUGGGGAAUCUUGCGCAAUGCGCGAAAGCGUGACGCAGCAACGCCGCGUGGGGGAAGACGGCUUUCGGGUUGUAAACCCUUUCAGUUGGGACGAAGCCUCAUCGGUUAAUAGCCGCGUGGGGUGACGGUACCUUCACAAGAAGCACCGGCUAACUACGUGCCAGCAGCCGC
rnacentral:rRNA from 1 species